AACCCAUGGUAAGGAGACUAUCUCUAUAAUUCCUUAAAUCUCUCUCAUACUUCACACAAUGUCUCAUCAUCUCUCCAGUGGAAAGUAUUUAUGUCAUUUCUCAAUUU